GUGUUCGAUCGUUCCGGCACUAAUGCACCGGAUCCCAUCAGAACUUCGAAGUUAAAGGUGCUUGGGCGGGAGAAGUACUACGACGGGUGUCCUCCUGGGAAGUCCUCGUGUUGCACCCC